UGGGGGAUAUUGCACAAUGGGCGAAAGCCUGAUGCAGCGACGCCGCGUGGGGGAUGAAGGCUUUCGGGUUGUAAACUUCUUUUGCUCUGAACAAGGCGCACCAUGGGGUGUGUUGAGUGUAGGGGUUGAUUAGCGCCGGCUAACUACGUGCCAGCAGCCGCGGUAAUACGUAGGGCGCGAGCGUUGUCCGGAAUUAUUGGGCGUAAAGGGCUUGUAGGUGGCUAGUUGCGUCUGUCGUGAAAGCUCAUGGCUUAACUGUGGGUUUGCUGUGGGUACGGGCUGGCUUGAGUGCAGUAGGGGAGGGUGGAAUUCCUGGUGUAGCGGUGGAAUGAGCAGAUAUCAGGAAAAAUACCGGUGGCGAAGGCGGGUCUCUGGGCUGUUACUGACACUGAGGAGCGAAAGCAUGGGGAGCAAACAGG
rnacentral:rRNA from 1 species